GCGCCGUGUAACCAAUUUCUGCUACUUUUCUCGUCUAUUUGUUAAGCAAGGAAAAUACUUGAUGCCGACGUUUUAGCACUGAGCAUUGGGGCUUUCUUCUUUGGUGAAAAUACUCUCAGAGAGGCCCGAUAUGCAUCGUGCGUGAUUAAAAACUUAAAGAUCAGGGCUUUGUCUGUUCUUAUGCUCAUGCAAAGCACGGUUGAUUAUUGUAGUUAAACAAGAUUUUGUAGUGUAACUGUACUGUUAUAUUGAAGAUACGACUAAGUUUUUCUUUUAAUUACUAGGUUUUGAUGGUGCAAUUUGAGUUUUUAAAUUUGUUUAAACAUAAAGGUAAUUUCUGGGAAUUCUUGGUAUUUCUCUUCUUUUUUUGUGUUGUUUCCCUUCUGUUUAUCCCUUACGCGGAACAAUUUUAGACCUUUUUUUUUAUCAUAGUAUCCAUUGUUUGUUUGUUU